rnacentral:rRNA from 1 species
UGACGGUAUCAUAUGAAUAAGCACCGGCUAACUCCGUGCCAGCAGCCGCGGUAAUACGGGGGGUGCAAGCGUCACUCGGAAUCACUGGGCGUAAAGAGCAUGUAGGCGGGUGAAUAAGUUGGAAGUGAAAUCCUAUAGCUUAACUAUAGAACUGCUUCCAAAACUGUUCACCUAGAGUAUGGGAGAGGUAGAUGGAAUUUCUGGUGUAGGGGUAAAAUCCGUAGAGAUCAGAAGGAAUACCGAUUGCGAAGGCGAUCUACUGGAACAUUACUGACGCUCAGAUGCGAAAGCGUGGGGAGCAAACAGGAUUAGAUACCCUGGUAGUCCACGCCCUAAACGAUGUACACUAGUUGUUGCUAUACUAGAUAUGGCAGUAAUGCAGUUAACACUUUAAGUGUACCGCCUGGGGAGUACGGUCGCAAGAUCAAAACUCAAAGGAAUAGACGGGGACCCGCACAAGCGGUGGAGCAUGUGGUUUAAUUCGACGAUACGCGAAAAACCUUACCUGGCCUUGACAUAGUAGGAAUCUUUAAGAGAUUAGAGAGUGCUAGCUUGCUAGAACCUACAUACAGGUGCUGCACGGCUGUCGUCAGC